rnacentral:rRNA from 1 species
GGGGGAAUAUUGCACAAUGGGGGAAACCCUGAUGCAGCAACGCCGCGUGAAGGAAGACGGUUUUCGGAUUGUAAACUUCUGUUCUUAGUGAAGAAUAAUGACGGUAGCUAAGGAGCAAGCCACGGCUAACUACGUGCCAGCAGCCGCGGUAAUACGUAGGUGGCAAGCGUUGUCCGGAAUUACUGGGUGUAAAGGGAGCGUAGGCGGGAAGCCAAGUCAGCUGUGAAAACUACGGGCUUAACUUGUAGACUGCAGUUGAAACUGGUUUUCUUGAGUGAAGUAGAGGUUGGCGGAAUUCCGAGUGUAGCGGUGAAAUGCGUAGAUAUUCGGAGGAACACCGGUGGCGAAGGCGGCCAACUGGGCUUUAACUGACGCUGAGGCUCGAAAGUGUGGGAGCAAACAGGAUUAGAUACC